rnacentral:rRNA from 1 species
UCGGGGUGCAGCAGGCGCGAAACCUUUACACUGCACGCACGUGCGAUAAGGGGACUCCGAGUGCGAGGGCAUAUCGUCCUCGCUUUCGUGUACCGUAGGGUGGUACACCAACAAGGGCUGGGCAAGACCGGUGCCAGCCGCCGCGGUAAUACCGGCAGCCCGAGUGAUGGCCGAUCUUAUUGGGCCUAAAGCGUCCGUAGCUGGCUGCGCAAGUCCGUCGGGAAAUCCACUCGCCCAACGAGUGGGCGUCCGACGGAAACUGCACAGCUUGGGACCGGAAGGCUCGAAGGGUACGUUCGGGGUAGGAGUGAAAUCCCAUAAUCCCGCACGGACCACCGAUGGCGAAAGCACUUCGAGAAAACGGAUCCGACAGUGAGGGACGAAAGCCAGGGUCUCCAACCGGAUUAGAUACCCGGGUAGUCCUGGCCGUAAACAAUGUUCGCUAGGUAUGACACAGACUACGCGUCUCUGUUGUGCCGUAGGGAAGCCGAGAAGCGAACCGCCUGGGA